GUGCUCAGUAUCACGUGGUCUUUUAGAUUACCUCGUUGGUACAAAACAUGCUAUUAAACGCACAAGGAGGGACGGAGAGGCGAUUUCCAAGAAUAAUGUACGGGGUACAUCCUAUUUGCCGAUAUCAAACAGAGACCGUCGGCUGCAUGCGCUUUGAGACCGUUGGCUGAAAGAAUGGCUCGUGGCUUUCAGCGAGGGAAACAAGAGAUGACUCGUGUUGUAAAAGGAAUAGUGGCCUGAAGAUGUCUGGACACGUUAUAUAUGUCAAUUGUCAGUUAAACGUAAACUUGAGCUCUUGCGGUUUGGACCCGAAAGAAAAGUUCAGCGCAUGCCAUUAGGACAAGCCACAUCUCAUCAAGGAAUCAAAAGACGAUCAUGAGAUACACAUUAAUCAACAUCCAAUUCAACUGUGGGAGGGAAAAAAGGGUAAUAGCGAAUGGCAACAAGGCUCGGUUCUGGCGCCAAUCUUUAUCAAUAUAUCUAUGAAAGACUUGGCUAUUUGUGACGAAUGCUGAAAUUUGUGACGAACCACAGCCGUCUCGUUUUUGAGCAUAAUAUUUUCAGCGUAACGAUUACUACACAGGAAUACGGUUUUUGUGAGUAUUUGUCAUAUCUGCAACGCUAUUGGAACGAUGGGCGACACCACUCCAAUCACUUUUGUAGCCUAUUAUUGUAAUAUUUGUGUCUCUAUGUUAAGUGUAAGUCUUGGGGUUGUUAUGCAUUUCCAUGCUCCCUAGGCUUUUGUAUUGUAAUUGAUUGUCGUUGUAAAUUUUAUGAGAAUAUAUAUAUAAAAAUAAAAAAUUCGGUUCCUCAGUCA